ensembl:lncRNA
GCAACCCCAACCCUACUCAAGUAAAUUUAAAUAAAUGUUAUUUUAUGUGCCAUGCCCAUUGCUCAGUUCAUCAUUGGUAAGCACAGAUGCACUCAUUGUUAGAAAGAUGUAGACACUGUUGUGGAAAUUUUAACAAUACCUUGCAACAGACCCAGUGAGCAUUUUGAAGUGGGUUUAAUAAACACAUUACAACGUGGAGAGAGACAUCCCAGUCAAUCACUAGGAUGAUCACUGCCCAUGGCCACCGCCCUCACACUUUUUAGGUCUGUGCUGUUGCAAUCAUUUAAGUCAGAUGUUGUAUUCAGCUUCUAGACAGCGCUACAGAAGAGGAGUGAGCAUAGCUUGAUCGGCCCACCAGGAUGGUGAUUUUUCGUUUUUAUGGACCGAUGGGUUUUGUUUUGUUUGUUUUUUUCCGUUUUUUUUCCCGUGACGGUAUAAUCAGAAUCAGAAUACUUUAUUGAUCCCUGGGGGGAAUUAUUUUUUUUGUUACAGUGCUCCAUUAUAAACCAACAUAAACCAACAUCAAGACAAGACAGACAAUACGCUAACUAAGAAUAGUACAAUAUAUACAUAAAUAUAUAUAAGUCACUCAUUAAUAAAUAGCUGGAAAAGAAACAUGUGUAGUUGUAGCAGUAACCAGUGUGUUAAGUGGAUGCGUUGUACAGGGAGAUGGCCACAGGCAGGAAUGAUUUCCUGUGUCGUUCAGUGGUGCUUUUCGGUAAUCUCAGUCUCUCACUGAACGAGCUCCUGUGACUGAACAGCAUGUCAUGUGGGAGGUGUUAUCCAACAUUGUCUUUAUCUUGGACACUGAUAAACACUGAAAGGUGGUGGAUUGGCCAGAUGCUGGGAGAUGUGUAAAAAUAACUGUUGUUUGGUGGUGGCUAUUGCGGAGCUUCCACAGAUUCAGUAACAUUAGCAAGUGGUGGAGGCCAGUAGAUGCAACACGCUGGCAGGUGGAUGAUGGAAAGGCAGGAGGAGCAGAGACCCGAGGCGGUGAGAAGGUAAGAAGUUAUGACCUGCAGUCUAUCUGGGUC